ensembl:lncRNA
GCCCUCCCCAGCGGCCAGAACCCCCCGGCGGGCUCCUCCCGUGGGAACUGCUGUCUCGGCAGCAGGCACCCAGCCACGUGGGUGCCAGGAAUGAGCGCGCCCGCGGAGCAGCGGCUACGCAGCACCCGGGAGCAGUAUAGAGCUGCAGGUUCUCAGGUCCUUCCCCAGACCUGCUGUUCAGAAUCUGCACUUUAACAAGAUCUUCGGGAAAGCAAUAUUGCCAGAAGUGAAAGUCACUUAGUUGUGUCUGACUCUGCGACCCCAUAGACUGUAGCCUGCCAGGCUCCUCUGUCCAUGGACUUCUCCAGGCCAGAGUACUGGAGUGGAUAGCCAGUCCCUUGUCCAGGGGAUCUUCUCAACCUACAAAUCGAAUCCAGGUCUCCCGCAUUG